rnacentral:rRNA from 1 species
GACAAACGCUGGCGGCAUGCCUAACACAUGCAAGUCGAACGGACAGAACAGGGAAGCUUUUCGGAGUGGAACUGGAAAGUUAGUGGCGGAUGGGUGAGUAACGCGUGGACAACCUACCUUGUAAAGGGGAAUAACCUCGAGAAAUCGAAGCUAAUACCCCAUAAUAACCUUGCUUCGCAUGAAGUAAGGAGGAAAGGCGGCCUUAGCGCUGUCGAUACAAGAUGGGUCCGCGUCUGAUUAGCUAGUUGGUGAGGUAAAGGCUCACCAAGGCGACGAUCAGUAGCCGGCCUGAGAGGGUGAACGGCCACAUUGGGACUGAGACACGGCCCAAACUCCUACGGGAGGCAGCAGUGGGGAAUCUUCCGCAAUGGGCGAAAGCCUGACGGAGCAAUGCCGCGUGAGUGAAGAAGGCCUUCGGGUUGUAAAACUCUGUCCUUAUCGAAGAGAGUGUGUUGUAGUAAUUGACAAUACUAGGACGGUAGAUGAGGAGGAAGCCCCGGCUAACUAUGUG